rnacentral:tRNA from 1 species
AUAAAACUUUUAUUAGAA